UGGGGAAUAUUGCACAAUGGGGGAAACCCUGAUGCAGCGACGCCGCGUGAACGAAGAAGGUAUUCGUAUCGUAAAGUUCUGUCCUAUGGGAAGAUAAUGACAGUACCAUAGAAGAAAGCUCCGGCUAAAUACGUGCCAGCAGCCGCGGUAAUACGUAUGGAGCGAGCGUUGUCCGGAAUUAUUGGGCGUAAAGGGUACGCAGGCGGUUUAAUAAGUCGAAUGUUAAAGAUCGGGGCUCAACCCCGCAAAGCAUUGGAAACUGAUAAACUUGAGUAGUGGAGAGGAAAGUGGAAUUCCUAGUGUAGUGGUGAAAUAAGUAGAUAUUAGGAGGAAUACCAGUAGCGAAGGCGACUUUCUGGACACAAACUGACGCUGAGGUACGAAAGCGUGGGGAGCAAACAGG
rnacentral:rRNA from 1 species